AACGAACGCUGGCGGCAGGCUUAACACAUGCAAGUCGAACGGAUCCUUCGGGAUUAGUGGCAGACGGGUGAGUAACGCGUGGGAACGUACCCUUUGCUACGGAAUAACUCAGGGAAACUUGAGCUAAUACCGUAUGUGCCCUACGGGGGAAAGAUUUAUCGGCAAAGGAUCGGCCCGCGUUGGAUUAGCUAGUUGGUGGGGUAAUGGCCUACCAAGGCGACGAUCCAUAGCUGGUCUGAGAGGAUGAUCAGCCACACUGGGACUGAGACACGGCCCAGACUCCUACGGGAGGCAGCAGUGGGGAAUAUUGGACAAUGGGCGCAAGCCUGAUCCAGCCAUGCCGCGUGAGUGAUGAAGGUCUUAGGAUUGUAAAGCUCUUUCACCGGUGAAGAUAAUGACGGUAGCCGGAGAAGAAGCCCCGGCUAACUUCGUGC
rnacentral:rRNA from 1 species